rnacentral:miRNA from 1 species
CUAUAUUACGCUCUAUCUAUAUGUUAUCGAGCACUCUUUGCGUUUCGUAAACCACAUUAUUUACGAAUAUAUCUUAUAUAUAUACAUAUAGCUUAAGUUUUUGGUUUACGAAACACAAAGAGUGCUCAAUACCAUAUAGAUAGAGCGUAAUAU